AUACUUACCUGCAGGGGAGAUACCAAGAUUAAGAAGGUUUUCCCAGGGCGAGGCUCAUCCAUUGCACUCUAGGUGUGCUGACUCCUGUGAUUUCCCCAAAUGCGGGAAACUCAACUGCAUAGUUUGUGAUAGUGGGGGACUACAUUUGCACUCUCCCC